rnacentral:rRNA from 1 species
GACGAACGCUGGCGGCGUGCUUAACACAUGCAAGUCGAACGGUGAACCUCUUCGGAGGGGAUCAGUGGCGAACGGGUGAGUAACACGUGGGCAACCUGCCCCCGGCUCUGGGAUAACUCCAAGAAAUUGGGGCUAAUACCGGAUGUUCACCGCUUCCCGCAUGGGUGGUGGUGGAAAGGGUUUCCGGCUGGGGAUGGGCCCGCGGCCUAUCAGCUUGUUGGUGGGGUAGUGGCCUACCAAGGCGACGACGGGUAGCCGGCCUGAGAGGGUGACCGGCCACAAUGGGACUGAGACACGGCCCAGAAGCCUACGGGAGGCAGCGGUGGGGAAUAUUGCGCAAUGGGCGGAAGCCUGACGCAGCGACGCCGCGUGCGGGAUGACGGCCUUCGGGUUGUGAACCUCUUUCAGCAGGGACGAAGCGCAAGUGACGGUACCUGCAGAAGAAGCACCGGCCAACUACGUG